AGAGUUUGAUCCUGGCUCAGAUUGAACGCUGGCGGCAGGCCUAACACAUGCAAGUCGAGCGGUAGCACAGAGAGCUUGCUCUCGGGUGACGAGCGGCGGACGGGUGAGUAAUGUCUGGGAAACUGCCUGAUGGAGGGGGAUAACUACUGGAAACGGUAGCUAAUACCGCAUAACGUCGCAAGACCAAAGUGGGGGACCUUCGGGCCUCAUGCCAUCAGAUGUGCCCAGAUGGGAUUAGCUAGUAGGUGGGGUAAUGGCUCACCUAGGCGACGAUCCCUAGCUGGUCUGAGAGGAUGACCAGCCACACUGGAACUGAGACACGGUCCAGACUCCUACGGGAGGCAGCAGUGGGGAAUAUUGCACAAUGGGCGCAAGCCUGAUGCAGCCAUGCCGCGUGUAUGAAGAAGGCCUUCGGGUUGUAAAGUACUUUCAGCGAGGAGGAAGGCGUUAAGGUUAAUAACCUUAGCGAUUGACGUUACUCGCAGAAGAAGCACCGGCUAACUCCGUGCCAGCAGCCGCGGUAAUACGGAGGGUGCAAGCGUUAAUCGGAAUUACUGGGCGUAAAGCGCACGCAGGCGGUCUGUCAAGUCGGAUGUGAAAUCCCCGGGCUCAACCUGGGAACUGCAUUCGAAACUGGCAGGCUAGAGUCUUGUAGAGGGGGGUAGAAUUCCAGGUGUAGCGGUGAAAUGCGUAGAGAUCUGGAGGAAUACCGGUGGCGAAGGCGGCCCCCUGGACAAAGACUGACGCUCAGGUGCGAAAGCGUGGGGAGCAAACAGGAUUAGAUACCCUGGUAGUCCACGCCGUAACGAUGUCGACUUGGAGGUUGUGCCCUUGAGGCGUGGCUUCCGGAGCUAACGCGUUAAGUCGACCGCCUGGGGAGUACGGCCGCAAGGUUAAACUCAAAUGAAUUGACGGGGGCCCGCACAAGCGGUGGAGCAUGUGGUUUAAUUCGAUGCAACGCGAAGAACCUUACCUACUCUUGACAUCCAGAGAACUUAGCAGAGAUGCUUUGGUGCCUUCGGGAACUCUGAGACAGGUGCUGCAUGGCUGUCGUCAGCUCGUGUUGUGAAAUGUUGGGUUAAGUCCCGCAACGAGCGCAACCCUUAUCCUUUGUUGCCAGCGGUUAGGCCGGGAACUCAAAGGAGACUGCCAGUGAUAAACUGGAGGAAGGUGGGGAUGACGUCAAGUCAUCAUGGCCCUUACGAGUAGGGCUACACACGUGCUACAAUGGCAUAUACAAAGAGAAGCGACCUCGCGAGAGCAAGCGGACCUCAUAAAGUAUGUCGUAGUCCGGAUUGGAGUCUGCAACUCGACUCCAUGAAGUCGGAAUCGCUAGUAAUCGUAGAUCAGAAUGCUACGGUGAAUACGUUCCCGGGCCUUGUACACACCGCCCGUCACACCAUGGGAGUGGGUUGCAAAAGAAGUAGGUAGCUUAACCUUCGGGAGGGCGCUUACCACUUUGUGAUUCAUGACUGGGGUGAAGUCGUAACAAGGUAGCCG
rnacentral:rRNA from 1 species